rnacentral:rRNA from 1 species
UACGUAGGGUGCGAGCGUUAAUCGGAAUUACUGGGCGUAAAGCGUGCGCAGGCGGUUAUGUAAGACAGGGGUGAAAUCCCCGGGCUUAACCUGGGAACUGCAUUUGUGACUGCAUAGCUAGAGUACGGUAGAGGGGGAUGGAAUUCCGCGUGUAGCAGUGAAAUGCGUAGAGAUGUGGAGGAAUACCGAUGGCGAAGGCAGCCCCCUGGGAUAACACUGACGCUCAUGCACGAAAGCGUGGGGAGCAAACAGG